AUUGAACGCUGGCGGCAUGCUUUACACAUGCAAGUCGAACGGUAACAGGUUAAGCUGACGAGUGGCGAACGGGUGAGUAAUGCAUCGGAACGUGCCCGGUCGUGGGGGAUAACACUUCGAAAGAAGUGCUAAUACCGCAUACGAUCUGAGGAUGAAAGCGGGGGACCGUAAGGCCUCGCGCGAUCGGAGCGGCCGAUGUCAGAUUAGGUAGUUGGUGGGGUAAAGGCCUACCAAGCCGACGAUCUGUAGCUGGUCUGAGAGGACGACCAGCCACACUGGGGCUGAGACACGGCCCAGACUCCUACGGGAGGCAGCAGUGGGGAAUUUUGGACAAUGGGCGCAAGCCUGAUCCAGCAAUGCCGCGUGCAGGAAGAAGGCCUUCGGGUUGUAAACUGCUUUUGUACGGAGCGAAAAGGCUCUCUCUAAUACGGGGGGCUCAUGACGGUACCGUAAGAAUAAGCACCGGCUAACUACGUGCCAGCAGCCGCGGUAA
rnacentral:rRNA from 1 species